AAAAGAUCUGCUACAGUAUUCAGCGUGAUUAUGACAGAUGGACAACUGGUACCAGCUUAGAGCUCAAGGGGCUUCUUUCACUUGAAUUCUAGUUCUAGGUAAUAUCAUUUAUUUCUAUUUUGUAAAUCUAAAGAAGCAAAGGAGACUCAUUCCAUCAUCUUCAUGCAGGGUUACAAGCCAGUGGAGGUUUACUUCCUAUCAAAUACUCUUCCCAGAGAUUUAUAAGAUGAAGAAACAAUGACAAGAAAAAUAUCCAGUCAACAAGCCAAAUGCAUCCUACCCCACAAGCAUAACUGGAUGAUAUAUAACUUCAGACUUUGACCAAAUUCCUAACAAUUACUGAUAGCAGCUUGAAGAUUGCUGAUAAUGCUAUUAAGAUGCUUUGAGUUUGAAAGGAAAUUGAAAGGCAUAUAACUUCAGACUUUGACCCAAUUCCUAACAAUUACUAAUAGUGGAAUGAAGAUUGCUGAUAAUACUAUUAAGAUGCUUAGAAGGCAAAUAGAAAGAAAUAAACACUUCGAGCCAAAAAAUAAUAAAUGAAACCUUGAUCCAAUUUAUUGCUACAUAAACAGGGAGGAGGAUUAGAGUCCCCAUAUAUUU
rnacentral:misc_RNA from 1 species